AAAUAUAUGAAGUAUUAUAUAUAUAUAUAUACAUCACAUUAGUGUAUCACAUGUUUGCCUUUCUCUUCUACCCAGUACUUGCAGGACAGGCAUGUGGAACUAUGCAGCCUUUGCCAUCUCAAAAAAUAAAAAAGGAUGAUGAAGACGGUUACAGGAAUAUCUUGAACCUCAAGCAAUGCUGGUUUCUACUAUACUGAUCAGAAUCUGCACAGUUCAUAGGAAAGAAAGGAAGAAUUCUGUGCCAAAUAUCCCUUGGUGCAUGAGCCUAAGAUGCAUGGCGAGCUCAUUCACCCAGGUUUUGUGCAAAGAUUAAUUCUGACAGUGGAGAAGUAAAGAGAGGAUUAUUAGUCAAUCUCAGGGAAGUCUGGAAUUAUUAAAACAGAGCAGCCGCUAACCUGCAGUCCCUGAAUCUUCUGGAGUAUGAUAUGAUGAUUGAUAACCUGACCUACACUUCUUGGAUCACUUGGCAGGUGGGCAAUGUCUUGCUUAGUUAAAGCUUUUUGUAAAUUAUUAAUUAUUGCAACCAAGAAACCUCCUCCCUGGGCUUUCACUGGUAUCAUGAAAUAGUGAUUUCAUGGAUAUUACAGAAGUGCCGCUCAUUGCUGCCUUUAUCUGUUAGGUUAAUGAGGAUCAUUCUGCUCGAACACAAUGGAUCAAAAUCUGGCCUUUGGUGCACACAGAUAUUUCCCAUUGAUUUCACUGAGCUCAUUGCACCUGGAGCUUCAGGCUUAGCAGCUUAUUAAAGUCACAUGUAGAGUGCAAAGCACAGAUAGAUAAGUUUACCCUGGUAAAGCAGGUGAAGCAGAAGCUGCGGAAACCUGAGACUUGAAAGAACUUAGACCAGUACAAUCAGAAAGUGAAAAAACCUGAGGCCACUGGGCAGGAGAUCCUGUGUGAUCUCAAUUUCCUAACUAUAUAGAAGGUUAAAUACAGCUCUUAAGCAGCCAGGCCUUAUGUUAUUUGAUUCCUCAGGAAGACUUUCUGUUAUCUAUAAUAUUGAAUAGAUUCAAAUAUGAGUACCAAACUCAAGAACAUAUGUAUUUCGUAGCAAGUGGUGCAUGUUUAUCAUCACUUUUUGCAUCUUAAAGCUUUUGAGCAUUCCUCAUACUAUAUUCUGCAGCUGAGUGAAUUGGCUGUGUAAGAACAGCACAACUUCUUUUUGUCUACUGUUUUGGAGACAGUUUUGUGGGCUCCGGUAACCAGGGAAAUGCUUUUGGAUUGACUUUGAAGUUAAUACAUAUAAACAUAGAGUUCACUGUAAACUGGAUGUGAUUUACUCAGCUCAUACUGAGUUGAACGUCUUAUAUAGUUCUUCAGCAUAUGGUUAUGAUGAACCAUGCAGUUACAGAUGAGGAGGGCAAAACUUAUCCUGCAUCCUUAUAUUGUGUCACCCUCUUUCAUUUCUUCAACUUGUACAUUUGUGUAAACCAUUAUGUACCUGUAGAUGUGCACUAUGUAUACAAUUACAAUUACAUUUACAUUCUUGUAUAAAUGUACUAGAUGUAUCAAGCCAUAUCUUACAGAUGUUUAGUAAGGUAACAAAAAAAGUAUCU
ensembl:lncRNA